rnacentral:rRNA from 1 species
UACGGGGGGGGCAAGCGUUUGUUCGGAAUUACUGGGCGUAAAGGGCUCGUAGGCGGCCAACUAAGUCAGACGUGAAAUCCCUCGGCUUAACCGGGGAACUGCGUCUGAUACUGGAUGGCUUGAAUUCGGGAGAGGGAUGCAGAAUUCCAGGUGUAGCGGUGAAAUGCGUAGAUAUCUGGAGGAAUACCGGUGGCGAAGGCGGCAUCCUGGACCGACAUUGACGCUGAACGGCGAAAGCUAGGGGAGCAAACGGG